AUAUCCUGUGGUGUAAAGUAACACAUUGUAUUUUCAUUACAAAACUGAAAAAUAUUUCUAGGGUAUU
rnacentral:tRNA from 1 species